GCUGAUGGUUUUCACUGCUCCGCGAGCCCAGCCGAGGCGCCGCUGGUGAACGGCCUCUGGUUGUUGCAGUCGAGGUUGCUUCCGUAGCCGACGCCGAGGACGUCGCAGUAGCGCUUGUAGAAGCCGAUGCGGUCGACCACCCGGGGGUCCUGCCCACGCCCGCACUCCAGCCCGCCGUUGAUGAUGUUGGUGAUCACGCCGUACCCGGGCACCCGGCCGGCCGCGUUGUCCGCGGCCGUCGGCGUCCACCGCCCCGCGAUCACCGCGUGCGACGACGGCUUGUUCGCCUGCGGGGUCAUCCAGAACCACAGCGCCGUCUUGAACGACAGCACCGGGUCCGUGGCCACCAGGUCCGGGUUGCUCAGCAGGUCGACGCCGAGAGCGCGCCCCGCCGGGCCGUAGUUGUAGUUGAAGGAGAGCUGCAUGGGGCCGCGGCCGUAGUAUCGCCUGCCCGGCGCGCACGGCCACUCCGGCCUCGGCUCGCAGUAGUCUGACGGCGGGUCGCGCUCCUGCUUGAAGCAGUAGCCCCAGGAGAAGGGGCCGUCGGGCGCGGUCGACCACCCGCCGGUGGUCUCGUGGGAGGUCUGGCCCAGGAACGCGGCCACCUCCCGCUUCCGCGUCUCGACGCUCAGCCCCUCGGACGUGCCGGCGAAGGCCGGGAACGCGGCGGCCGCGGCGAGGAACGCCUCGUAGGUGUAGAACCCGCGGGCCAGGCACGCCGCGUCGUUGCGGUGGAGCAGGAGCCGCUCGAAGAGGUCCUUGGACAGGAUGGACGCCACGCCCUGGCCGCCGGGACCGGGAGGAGUGGGGCAGCCGCUGCACUGGCUCUGGCAGCCGGCGCCGCACCACUCAGAGGUGCUGCCGCAGAACCCGAAACGGCUGCAGCAG
rnacentral:lncRNA from 1 species